AGUGAACGCUGGCGGUAGGCCUAACACAUGCAAGUCGAACGGCAGCACAGUAAGAGCUUGCUCUUACGGUUGGCGAGUGGCGGACGGGUGAGGAAUACAUCGGAAUCUACUUUUUCGUGGGGGAUAACGUAGGGAAACUUACGCUAAUACCGCAUACGACCUACGGGUGAAAGCAGGGGAUCUUCGGACCUUGCGCGAUUGAAUGAGCCGAUUUCGGAUUAGCUAGUUGGCGGGGUAAAGGCCCACCAAGGCGACGAUCCGUAGCUGGGCUGAGAGGAUGAUCAGCCACACUGGAACUGAGACACGGUCCAGACUCCUACGGGAGGCAGCAGUGGGGAAUAUUGGACAAUGGGCGCAAGCCUGAUCCAGCCAUACCGCGUGGGUGAAGAAGGCCUUCGGGUUGUAAAGCCCUUUUGUUGGGAAAGAAAAGCAGCAGGUUAAUACCCCGCUGUUCUGACGGUACCCAAAGAAUAAGCACCGGCUAACUUCGUG
rnacentral:rRNA from 1 species